rnacentral:rRNA from 1 species
CAGCAGCCGCGGGAAUACGUAGGGUGCAAGCGUUAAUCGGAAUUACUGGGCGUAAAGCGUGCGCAGGCGGUCCGUUAAGACAGAUGUGAAAUCCCCGGGCUUAACCUGGGAACUGCAUUUGUGACUGGCGGGCUAGAGUAUGGCAGAGGGGGGUAGAAUUCCACGUGUAGCAGCGAAAUGCGUAGAGAUGUGGAGGAAUACCGAUGGCGAAGGCAGCCCCCUGGGCCAAUACUGACGCUCAUGCACGAAAGCGUGGGGAGCAAACAGGAUUAGAUACCCCUGUAGUCCCUGUCUCUUAUAC